rnacentral:lncRNA from 1 species
CCUUUGGAGCAACGCAAAGACAUUUACCUUCAGCUUUCAGGGUUUAAGCUAACUUAAGAGAUACUGGGGGACCUCGUCAUAUGUUAUCAUUUUAUCGAUUAGCUUGUUGAAAGCACAAGAUGAACAAGCCAUUGUCUCGUUAUGGACCAAUAAAAUAUGACAUCUCCUCCUCCAACCAUUCUAAUCAAAUAGUGCAAACUCGUAAGCCUAUACCUGACACAAGCGAACUAGUACCAACAGACGAUGACA